rnacentral:rRNA from 1 species
AGGACGAACGCUGGCGGCGUGCUUAACACAUGCAAGUCGAGCGGUAAGGCCUUUCGGGGUACACGAGCGGCGAACGGGUGAGUAACACGUGGGUGAUCUGCCCUGCACUCUGGGAUAAGCCUGGGAAACUGGGUCUAAUACCGGAUAUGACCUGCUCUCGCAGUGGGGGGUGGGUGGAAAGUAUUUUAUCGGUGCAGGGAUGGGCCCGCGGCCUAUCAGCUUGGUUGGUGGGGUAAUGGCCUACCGAAGGCGACGACGGGUAGCCGACCUGAGAGGAUGAUCAGCCACACUGGGACUGAGACACGGCCAGACUCCGACGGGAGCAGCAGGUAGGGAAUAGUGGAACAAGUGGGACGAAAGCCUAGACUCCGAGCAAUCG